rnacentral:rRNA from 1 species
GACGAACGCUGGCGGCGUGCUUAACACAUGCAAGUCGAACGGAAAGGCCCUGCUUUUGUUUGUUGCUCGAUUGGCGAACGGGUGAGUAACACGUGAGUAACCUGCCCUUUACUUUGGGAUAACUUCUGGAAACUGGGGCUAAUACCGGAUAUGAUCUCCUGCUGCAUGUUGUUGGUUGGAAAGUUUCGGCGGUUGGGGCUGGACUCGCGGCUUCUCAGCUUGUUGGUGUGGUAGUGGCUUACCAAGGCUUUGACGGAUAGCCGGCCUGAGAGGGGGACCGGGGACAUGGGGACUGAGGGACGGCCCAGACUCCAACGGGAGGCAGCAGGGGGGAAUAUUGCACAAUGGGCGGAAGCCUGAUGCAGAAACGCCGCGUGCGGGAUGACGGGCUUCGGGGUGUAAACAGAUUUCGACUGUGACGAAGAGUGAGUGACGGUAAUGGGUAAAGAAGCAACGGCUAACUACGUG